rnacentral:lncRNA from 1 species
UGGGUGCCACGUCAUUUCUGGGAAAGCAGCCAAGGGCAGACUGGCAUCAGAAGAGCCACGAGAAGAGAGAACGAGAAGAGUGAGAGGAGAGGCAUGCCUGGCUUGCUCUGGGGAACAUAGAUGGGACUUUUGCUGUAUAUUCCUCUUUGUCGGCACAGUCCAUUUGCAAACCGCAGAAGACCUUAUGUGGCUGAGUUCUAAUUAAAGGAAGCAAGUUGAAAUUCUCUUGAAGGCCCAGUGACUGACAUACUGGAUUGUGUCCAAUUAACCCUUCCAAAAGAAAAGACAUCUCCAUCCCCUCUGCGGUGCUUUGUUAAGCCGUCAGAAUCUGCUCUGCACUGUUGGCGAAUUUUCUGCAUGGGCAUCCCAGGGAUGGGCCCUUGUGUCACAAUUGCAAAAUAAUUAGUAUACUAUGUAUAUUCACACAUAGUACACACACAUACACGUAAUGGGCACAAGUUAGUGUAAAUUUACACCAGUAGAAGCUGAUGACAUCAGCAGUUGGCACUGUUAAAAUUUAAUUAAAAUUAAUUACAGUGGUACGUCGACUUACGAACCUAAUCUGUACUGGAAUUAAGUUCGUACGUCGAAAAGUUUGUAAGUUGAGGCAAACUUUUCCAUUGGAAUGCAUUGAAAACCAUUUAAUCUGUAUCUGCUGUUUUCCGUUUGUAGGUUGAGGCGCUGUUCAUAGGUAGAGGCAUUAGUUCCCAUAGGAACUAAUGCAAAACCGGUUAAUCCGUACUCCACCACUGGGGGGGGGGAAUUUUUUUCUUCUUUUGACCUAAGGUGAACUUUCUUCUUUUGACCUAAGGAGGAAAGGGUUUUUUCUCUUUUUUGUUCGUAAGUGGAGGCUCUGUUCGGAAGUCGAAGCAACUUUUUGCAAACAGAGCCGUUCGUAACUCGAAUCGUUCACAAUUAGGGAUGUUUGUAAGUCGAGGUUCCACUGUAAAAGCUUUCUCUUCCCCUGUUUUACCUUCCAAGGCUCCCUAGGGCCCCCUUCUGCCUGGGGAAGCCUUUGGGUGCCACAGGAUGGGGGAAGACUUUUAAAUUUUUCAAAAUCACCAUUAGGUCACUGCUGCCAGAGUCAGGACUGCCACUAGCAAUCCAGCAUCAAUUUUGGUGAUAAAGGGCUCCCUCUGCCAUUCAACAUCCAGAGGUUUGUAAAGCCUUCUCCAGAGCAGAAGGAAGCCCUAAGAAGCUUCAAA